UAAGUGUAGGGACUUUAUAGGUGCUUUUUUAUUUUGAAAGUGGUUAUUUUUGGUGACUUGGAAGGUUUAAAAUAGUUGUGUAGGGACUGUAAAGGAGGUUUUUUAUUUUGAAAGUGAUUAUGUUUGGUAACUUGGUUCGAUUAAAAUGGUUAAAUGAAGGGACUUUAAGGUUAUUUUUUAUUAAGUUGUUAAGUUUGGAGACUUGGAAAGUAGAAAAUUGUGAAGUGUAUGGACUUUAAAGGUUCUUUAUUAUUUAGGAUGUGGUUAUGUAGGAUGACUUGGUGGGUUGAAAAUUGUUAUGUGUAGGAAAUUUAAAUGUGUUUUUUUUGUUUUAAAAGUGGUUAUGUUUGAUGAGUUUAAAGGUUGAAAAUGAUUAUGUGUAGCGACUUUAAAGGUGUUUUUCUGUUUUAAAUGUUGUUUUGUUUGGUGAGUUGUUAGAUCGAAAAAGGUUAUGUGUAGGAACUUUAAAGGUGCUUUUCUGUUUUGAAAACUGUUAUGUUUGGUGACUUGGUAGGUUGAAAAUGGUAAGUGUAGGGACUUUAAAGGUGUUUUUUUUUAGAGUGGUUUUGUUUGGUGACUUGGUAGGUUUAAAAUGGUUAAGUGUCGGGACUUUAAAGGUUCUUUUUAGGUUUGAAAAUGGCUAUGUUUGCUGACGUGGUAGCCUGAAAAUGGUUAAGUAUAGGGACUUUAAAGGUGCUUUUUUGUUUUGAAAGUUCUUAUAUUUGGUGACUUGGUAGGUUGAAAAUGGUUAACUGUUGUGACUUUAAAUGUGUUUUUUUAAAAAGUAAUUAUGUUUGGUCACUUGGUAGGUUGAAAAUGGUUAAGUGUAGGGGCUUUAAAGAUGCUUUUUUGCUUUGAAAGUGUUUAUGUUUCGGGACUUGGUAGGUUGAUAAUGGUUAAGUGUUUGGACUUUAUAGGUGCUUUUUUAUUUUGAAAGUGGUAAUUUUUGGUGACUUGGUAGGUUUAAAAUAGUUGUGUAGGGACUGUUAAAGUGGUUUUUUAUUUUGAAAGUUAUUAUGUUUGGUAACUUGGUUGGUUUAAAAUGGUUAACUGAAGGGUCUUUAAGGGUAUUUUUUUUUAGUGGUUAAGUUUGGAGACUUGGAAGGUUGUAAAUUGUUAAGUAUAGGGACUUUAAGGGUUCUUUAUUCUUUUGGAAGUGGUUAUAUUGGGUGACUUGUUAGGUUGAAAAUUGUUAAGGCAAGGAAUUUAAAUGUGUUUUUUUGUUUGUUUUAAAAGUGGUAAUAUUUGAUGAGUUGAAAGGUUGAAAAUGAUUAUGUGUAGCGACUUUAAAGGUGUUUUUUGUUUUAAAUGUUGUUUUGUUUGGUGAGUUGUUAGAUCGAAAAAGGUUAUGUGUAGGAACUUUAAAAGUGCUUUUCUUUUUAGAAAAUGGUUAUGUUUGGUGACUUGGUAGGUUGAAAAUGGUUAANNNNNNNNNNNNNUUUGUGUCGUGGUGUUUUAAAAAUGUUUAAAUGUUGUGACUUUAAAUGUGUUUUAUUUAAAAGUGAUUAUGCUUGGUCACUUGGUAGGUUGAAAAUGGUUAAGUGUAGGGCUUUAAAGAUGCUUUUUUGCUUUGAAAGUGUUUAUGUUUGGGGACUUGGUAGGUUGAAAAUGGUUAAGUGUAGGGACUUUAUAGGUGCUUUUUUAUUUUGAAAGUGGUUAUCUUUGGUGACUUGGAAGGUUUAAAAUAGUUGUGUAGGGACUGUAAAGGAGGUUUUUUAUUUUGAAAGUGAUUAUGUUUGGUAACUUGGUUGGAUUAAAAUGGUUAAAUGAAGGGACUUUAAGGGUAUUUUUUAUUAAGUGGUUAAGUUUGGUGACUUGGAAAGUAGAAAAUUGUGAAGUGUAUG
rnacentral:lncRNA from 1 species